AGGACGAACGCUGGCGGCGUGCCUCAUACAUGCAAGUCGAGCGGUCUGGCGCAAGCCAGAUAGCGGCGGACGGGUGAGUAACACGUGGGUAACCUGCCCUAAAGACCGGGAUAACAUCCUGAAAGGGAUGCUAAUACCGGGUAUGGUCUUCCAGUCGCAUGGCAGGAAGAAGAGAGGAGCAAUCCGCUUUAGGAUGGGCCCGCGUCCCAUUAGCUAGUUGGUGAGGUAACAGCUCACCAAGGCGACGAUGGGUAGCCGACCUGAGAGGGUGACCGGCCACACUGGGACUGAGACACGGCCCAGACUCCUACGGGAGGCAGCAGUCGGGAAUAUUGGGCAAUGGGGGGAAAAACCCCCUGACCCAGCAACGCCGCGUGAGUGACGAAGGCCUUCGGGUCGUAAAGCUCUGUCCUUGGGGACGAACGAUGACGGUACCCAAGAAGAAAGCCACGGCUAACUACGUGCCAGCCGCCGC
rnacentral:rRNA from 1 species